AGAGUUUGAUCAUGGCUCAGAACGAACGCUGGCGGCAUGCCUUAUACAUGCAAGUCGAACGAGAAAGUCACUUCGGUGGCGAGUACAGUGGCGCACGGGUGAGUAACGCGUAGAUGAUCUACCCUUCAGUCUGGGACAACUCUUGGAAACGGGAGCUAAUACCGGAUAAAACCUUCGGGUUGAAAGAUUUAUCGCUGGGGGAUGAGUCUGCGUACCAUUAGCUUGUUGGUGGGGUAAUAGCCUACCAAGGCGACGAUGGUUAGCGGGUCUGAGAGGACGAUCCGCCACACUGGAACUGAGACACGGUCCAGACUCCUACGGGAGGCAGCAGUAGGGAAUAUUGCGCAAUGGGGGCAACCCUGACGCAGCAAUGCCGCGUGAGUGAAGAAGGCCUUCGGGUCGUAAAGCUCUUUUAUGGGGGAAGAUGAUGACGGUACCCCAUGAAUAAGCACCGGCUAACUACGUGCCAGCAGCCGCGGUAAUACGUAGGGUGCGAGCGUUGUUCGGAAUUACUGGGCGUAAAGGGCGUGCAGGCGGAUUGGCAAGCCGGAGGUGAAAGCCCGGGGCUCAACCCCGGAGGGUCUUUCGGAACUGCCAGUCUUGAGAGGGUCAGGGGCCAGCGGAAUUCCUGGUGUAGAGGUGAAAUUCGUAGAGAUCAGGAGGAACACCGGCGGCGAAAGCGGCUGGCUGGGGCCACUCUGACGCUGAGGCGCGAAAGCGUGGGGAGCAAACAGGAUUAGAUACCCUGGUAGUCCACGCCGUAAACGAUGGGCACUAAGCGUCCGACGGGUUCGACCCUGUUGGGUGCUGCAGUUAACGCGUUAAGUGCCCCGCCUGGGGAGUACGGUCGCAGACUAAAACUCAAGGGAAUUGACGGGGGCCCG
rnacentral:rRNA from 1 species